GCUGCGGCCAUGGUUGCGACUGUGACUGCGGCAGUUGCAACUGGGAAAGAAAAGAAAGGAAAGGGGGAAAAAGAGGCUGCAGACGGGAUUGCGGCAGCGACUGCGUAUGCAGCAAUUAUGUCUGCGAGAGAAGGGAGGAAGGAAGGUAGUGCGGUGGAAGGGGCGGCGAUUAUGGCAGCGGCAGCGGCAGCGGUAGCGGCUGUGAUAGCUGCGUUUGGGAAAGAAAAAGAAGGAAUGAGAGUAAGAGAGAGCAGGCGACUAUGCCUCGAUGUUUGACACAUGGUGUAGUUGCGAAGAAAGGAAGAAAACGGGAGCACAAAACGAAACAGAGAGAGGACACGGAGGAAAAGUAGAAGGAUUGGACUGACACCUUCCUUGGAUAUUCAGAUCAAAAUAUUUGAAAGGCAAGUUCCCUAAUCGUUUCUCCUAUAAUUGCUCUGAUAUUUCUUAUUGCAAGUUUCCCACUUGUUUCGAUCCUUUCUAUUGCAAAUGUUUCGAUCCUUUCUAUUGCAAGUUCCCUGAUCGUUUCUCCUAUAAUUGCUCUGAUAUUUCUUAUUGCAAGUUUCCCGAUCGUUCCUCCUGUAAUUGUUCUAAUCCUUCUUAUUGCAAGUAUCCUGAUCUUUCCUCACUGUCAUUUUUAUCUCUACAUUUGCUUUGAAUAUGAGGAACUUUGAAUUGUUCUAGCCUUGCAUUUGAUAUAUCUCUUGUUUAGACGUAACGAUUCGAAUCUGUGCAACUUCUGAGAUUCUGACCUUUUGAUACCGAGCUGCCUAUAAGUCCUUGUUGGAAACUCUGAUUUGUUCAAAACAGAUUCCAUUGGAAACUAGACUCGUAGAUCUUUCUUUUGAUAUAUGGAUUGAAAGAUUUGGAAUCCAAUCACCUGCCCAGUUAUCUGUUGAAUCUGACAUUAUGAAUUCUGGCAAACAGAGAUUUUGUUCUACGACCCUUGUUUACCAAAUUAUUUGUAACUCUCUCUGUUGGACAGUUCAAUUCAUAUGAAGCCUGUCUUAUCUGAAAGUAUUAUCCAAUGAUUAUUUCUGAGUAAAUUAGAGCACGAUUGAUAGUUUGAAUCAUUUGUUCAAUGUGCCUCUUGUAUUCUGCCAGAAAUCAAGCUUUGGUCGAUUUAUCAUAUUCUUGUUUCAUUCCUUUGGAAAUUGAUAUCCUUUAGCCUUCUUAUUCAAUUGAGCUUUAUAUUACUGCUUUGAAUUCUUGUAUGCUCUUGUCCUUAAAAUUAUUUGCAUUCUUGAAAACUAUUGUGUAACAUUUAAGCUAUAUCGUAUUGACUCCUAUAGGCACAUGUAUAACCCAUUGUUCCGCAUUUGCUUUCGAUGUGUGCCUAUUCUAGUUUCAUUCCUUUGGAUAUCGAAUUCAUCUAACCUUCUUAUUUGAAUUGAGUUAUAUAUGAUUGUUUGGAAUUCGUGUAUACUCUUGCUUUUAUUUCAUUCCAAAUCUGAAUACAUUUGUGAGAGAUUGUUGCUUGCAUCGUAUUUGACUCGUAAAGGCACAUGUACGUUUGUUGUUCCGCACGUGCUUCCGAUAUAUGCUACUUAUUGCUAAAACUGCCCUCUUGUACUCUGGUGGUUGUGGGACUGUCUGGACCUUUGCCAGAAAUGGUAAAGGGUAUGUGCUUAGAGCUUGCGAUGCUCUGCCGGCCCCCUCUGACUUCACCUAGACAUGGGUGGAUGGAGCUCCCAGACGUGGGAGACUUCUGUCUGGUGUUCAUUCAGAAAUGGAUGUAUCACGUUCUGUUCGAGGUCCCACUACACCUUCUAUAUGUUUGAUAUGAUAUCCAGAGCUUUGGUUAUGUGUUUCUAUACAUGCGUUGGAUAAGAAUGAUAUGAUUGCAACGUCAAGGACGACGUUUGAGCUUCUGUACGGUUUUUGUUUUUGAUAUGCUCUGAAAGUUCAUUCACUGUUGAUAUGCUUCGAAAUGUUCCAUAUGCCGUUGAUAUGCUACGGAACAUUUCACACGCCAUUGAUAAACUUCGUAAUGUUUCAUUCGUUACUGAUAUGCUCCAAUUACUCUGUGCUCCAUUUGCUAUGAACUGAUAUGUUCUGAAAUGUCCUAUCUGCCAUUGAUAUGCUCCAAUUACUCUGUGCUCCAUUUGUUAUGAAUCAAAUAUGUUUGAAUGACAUGAUACAUAUGAUUUUGUAUCUAAUGAGAUGGUAUCCUUGAGAAUUCUUGUAUUCUGCCUUGCAUAAUGAUACCUUACUUGUUUGAAACCAUUCCUUUUGUUCUGAAUAUGCUUUGUCACUUGCUGAGCUGUUUUUAGCUCAUUCCGUUGUUAUAUAAAUCUUUCAGGUCAGCUUGUCACCAUUUGAGAUGUUUAAUUUGGGCUGAGGCAGUGGAUAGCUAUUCAGAAUUAUGGGCAAGUCUUGUUGGUUGUUAUGCUAUUGUUGUAUAAGCAUAUUUUGUAUGUAAUGAAAUGUUGUUGAUGAAUCGAAAUGGAUAUACUGUGUAAAAGUGUUAGAAGAUCUC
rnacentral:lncRNA from 1 species